rnacentral:rRNA from 1 species
GGGCCGUGCCGGCAGCCCUAUACAUGCAGUCGAACGAGCUUCCGUUGAAUGACGUGCUUGCACUGAUUUCAACAAUGAAGCGAGUGGCGAACUGGUGAGUAACACGUGGGGAAUCUGCCCAGAAGCAGGGGAUAACACUUGGAAACAGGUGCUAAUACCGUAUAACAACAAAAUCCGCAUGGAUUUUGUUUGAAAGGUGGCUUCGGCUAUCACUUCUGGAUGAUCCCGCGGCGUAUUAGUUAGUUGGUGAGGUAAAGGCCCACCAAGACGAUGAUACGUAGCCGACCUGAGAGGGUAAUCGGCCACAUUGGGACUGAGACACGGCCCAAACUCCUACGGGAGGCAGCAGUAGGGAAUCUUCCACAAUGGACGAAAGUCUGAUGGAGCAAUGCCGCGUGAGUGAAGAAGGGUUUCGGCUCGUAAAACUCUGUUGUUAAAGAAGAACACCUUUGAGAGUAACUGUUCAAGGGUUGACGGUAUUUAACCAGAAAGCCACGGCUAACUACGUGCCAGCAGCCGCGGUAAUACGUAGGUGGCAAGCGUUGUCCGGAUUUAUUGGGCGUAAAGCGAGCGCAGGCGGUUUUUUAAGUCUGAUGUGAAAGCCUUCGGCUUAACCGGAGAAGUGCAUCGGAAACUGGGAGACUUGAGUGCAGAAGAGGACAGUGGAACUCCAUGUGUAGCGGUGGAAUGCGUAGAUAUAUGGAAGAACACCAGUGGCGAAGGCGGCUGUCUAGUCUGUAACUGACGCUGAGGCUCGAAAGCAUGGGUAGCGAACAGGAUUAGAUACCCUGGUAGUCCAUGCCGUAAACGAUGAGUGCUAAGUGUUGGAGGGUUUCCGCCCUUCAGUGCUGCAGCUAACGCAUUAAGCACUCCGCCUGGGGAGUACGACCGCAAGGUUGAAACUCAAAGGAAUUGACGGGGGCCCGCACAAGCGGUGGAGCAUGUGGUUUAAUUCGAAGCUACGCGAAGAACCUUACCAGGUCUUGACAUCUUCUGCCAAUCUUAGAGAUAAAACGUUCCCUUCGGGGACAAAAUGACAGGUGGUGCAUGGUUGUCCUCAACUCGUGUCCGGAAAUGUUGGGUUAAGUUCCCCCAACGAGCGCAACCCUUAUUUAUCAGUUGCCAGCAUUUCAGUUGGGGCACUCUGGUGGAAACUGGCCGGGGACAAACCCGGAA